GAGCAGUGACGAAAAUUGCGCUUCUCUGUGGCAGGUAGGGUUCUGUCACCGACCGUCUGUUAACGGACGAACCAUGCGCUGCUGAGCUC